UUGAAAGUUGAAGGUUGGAUCAUAUAACAGUAGAGAUGAUAAAAGAAGACAGACAAUGGUUGUUUCUACUUGUUCCUAGAGUAUAGUAGCUUAGUGGAUGGAAAAAAAAAACAUGAACCAGCUAUUGUCUUGUUGUGGGAGAUUGUGUUUGUUAGAUGGAUACGAUUUCAGACAUUCCUGUCGUCUUCCACCUCUAAUUAUUUAAUGGAGAGAUUUCCAUCUGACAGACCACCACAUCGGACAACCUCUCAAGGCCAAAUGCCCAAAUCACCAUGACUCAUGUGUAUGGUCAAUCGGUCAUGGUCCAUCCCAGUUGAGAGAAAACGACCAACGGCCACCCCGAGGUCACUGAGUGGUCCUAAAGCUCCUUCAUGGAUGCAUGCAUGGCACUGUUCCUUAUCAUCAUCAUCAUCCAUGGAUCCAUGAAUAAUAACACUAGCACAUGGGAAGUAGCAGCGGCGGCAGGAGAAGGAGCAGAGCUCAGAGAUCCGUGGCAAUAUCGCACUGUCUGUUCACAUCAUCUAAUUAAACCCAGAUUAACAUCGCAACAUUUAAUAUUAUAAAUAAAUGAUGGUAAAAGUAUAAACAGUAGAAAAUAGUAAUAUAGGAAAACCCAUUUGCUAACCAUUUCUGUUUCUCCUGCUUCUGUCAUCUGUUUACAGAUUUAGACAGCACACGCAGAAGAAGAGUGAAGACCAGAACACUUCCUUGGUUCAACAACAAGGAGAAGAUAUAAACUGUUCCUGUUCUAUUUCCAUCUACAGAUGGGAACCCAACAAGGGAAGAUGGCUGGGAUCUGGCACUUCUUCUUCUCCGUCGUCGUCUUCGACCAAGGUGGAGGAGCGGCUGGGGGAGGUAGCAAACGGCAUCCCAAGUAGUAGCAGCAGCAGCACUGUAAUCAAUGUUGUGAUAUUGACACAAUAGGCUCAAUCAAAACUCAUGUUUUUAUUUUUAUUUCUUCCAACCAAGUCAGAUAUAUAGAUCAUUCCUAUUGAAUCUGUAUUAAUCUGUAUGAACUAUGAAGUCAAUCAAAUGGAGUUUCUUCUUCUUUUUCUUCCUUUUUCUUCAAAAAAAUUGAUUUUUAUUUAUUUUUACAUCAAGUUGGAUGUUUUUUCUUCUGAGUUCCAAAUGUAGGAUUGUCAUACAUAGGUUCACAUAAUCACAACCAAACAC
rnacentral:lncRNA from 1 species